UGGCUGCCGACGCUGGUCUCCUUGCCUUCAGCAGCUCCGCCCGGCCGGGCCCCGAGGGAUUUAUUUGCCACGGGAUUUGGUAGACAAGACGCCGUUUCACCCUCCAAAAAAUGUCUUAAAAUGACUGCUGAAGAAAUACCAGUGUGAAGAGAAGAAGCAGCAGUUCCGUGAAGAGGACAUCAGACAGGUAGCAUGCUGUAAAUCAGCGUUGAAGACACGAGCCUGCUGGUGUUCAAAAGCAAUUUAUCCUGGUGUGAUCCCGCGGAAGUUCCUGUGGCAGACGUGACAUAUCGAGGUUGGCAGAUGGAGACCUAAAGCCCUCUUGCUGCCUUCUCAUUGGCCUUCCACUACCUGAAGCACCUCCCCCUAUUGGUCCACUUCAAGGGUCUUUAUUAAAGCAGAGAAAAGAGAUGCGCCACCUCGCUUAUGGCUCCCGCUUGCCUCUGUGCUCCAUCUUGUUCGGGGAGGUUAUGGGCCGGCGAGACGUUGACGCCUCGGGCCCUUGGAUGUGUUAACAAGAAGUGAGUGAUUCUGGAUCUGAGGUCAAAGCGGGCAGAGUUCCGUGGACGGAGUCAAAGGAGUUGGUGGGGCUCACCUGGACCCCCGUGGUGUCCUGCAGCGUGUGCUCGCUGGUUUCCAUCUCCAAGGCCGCGCCGGUGCGCAUCAACCCCGCUUUGACCUCACAGGCCGAGCCGCCGGCCGGGGGUCGCCUCCUGCUGGCCGCGCAGCACGCCGCGAAGAAAGCGGCGGCCGUCAACAAGAGGAGCGGCCCUAUCACGAUGGGGGGGUUGGCGGCCGGGGCGUAGGUGGCGUAGGCGACGGCGCCCACCAGGGUGACGUUGACCCCGGCCAGCAGGACGCACAGGCCGCACGCGCAGCACAGAGGCGGCGAAGGCAGGCUGCGGGCUCGCUGCUUGUGGCGUUUGUGGGCUGCAGGACGUCUGCUGCUGUUUUCUGGAAGCACCAUGGAGGAGGAGGAGGAGGAGAGGACGGAUGCACUCGUCAGCUUAGAAGGUAGGAAACAUGUCUCUACAGCACCCAAACUAGUGAAAAAAGGAAACAAAACCACUAAUUUCAUAAUGAUGUAGAUAAAUAGAAAGUUAGAUGUACUUCCCUUACUUGGUCUUCCUGGUGGUGUGCAAUCAGGACAGCUGCUGUCUCCUCUCAGCAGGUCAACAACUCACUGAGCAGCUCUUGCCUCCAAACCACUGUUGUUACACCGCACUGCCGCUAGGGGCACCAAAGCGCUUUUUGAGAUGAAUGACACGCCCACUUGUAACUGGCAUAAUUUGAAGAUGAACAUUAAAUACAGUAAAAUAAGGUUAAAACGCUAAAAUAAUGAAAUAUCCAUCACUCCUAAAGAGAAUUCUUGAAUUAAAUUCAGGGGUUUUGUUGCUUUGAUAGUUAGGAUCAUCACAAACAUUGACCUGAACACCAAAUAUUUAGCAACAGUCAGAAAAUAAAGAGACAGUAAAGAAGGAUAUUUUUAUUGACCAUUUAAAAAUAUGCUCCAAAGAGUUUACGUCAUGCAUGAUGACAAUUUGUAAAAUAUAAAUGGAGGACAUCCUCCCUCCGUUUUACAGCAUAAUGGUGAUUAAACAUGUUUGAUAAAAGGCUAUUCGCCUAACAAAUAAUUGCUUCUGCACUUUUAGGCAGCGAGUUGUUGCUAUAGAGAUGUCGUGUCCAUGGCAACCAGGUGGAAACACGAACAUGGGCUCAUGACAAAGGAAAGUGAUACAAUAUAAUACUCUCAUUCUUGGCACACUCGCAACAAAGAAGCAGACUGAACAAGACACAACAAAAAGGCAUAUAAAAAUAAAAAAAAACAGGAAUCCUUUAUUAGCAUUCUAUAUAAAAUAAUUUCUUAAAUGGCGUGUGAUAAGUGGACAUAUUUAAACCCACUACUACCGACCACACAGUCUGAUAGUUUAUAUAUCAAUGAUGAAAUAUUAACAUUGCAACACAUGCCAAUACGGCCUGUUUAGUUUACUAAGUUGCCAUUUUAAAUUUCCCGCGGAGUUUCCUGUUGAAAACGUCGCGGAAUGAUGACGUGUGUUUGUGACGUUAUUGGUUGGAGGGGACAUUUUAGCCCAGCACCACUUACGGCUAAAAGUCGUCUCUUUUCAUCGCAUAAUUACACAGUAUUCUGGACAUCUGUGUUGCUGAAUCUUUUGCAAUUUGUUCAAUUAAUAAUGGAGAAAUCAAUGUAGAAAGAUGGAGGUGGGAAACUUUUAGCCUAUAGCCACACAAACACACGGUGAUUCCUUGUUUAAAAUCCCCCGAGGUGAAGCUUUACUAUGGAUCAGAGCGGUCAGGCGAACAUGGAUCCCGACUACAUGUCGACCGGCAGUUUUCGAUGAGAAAACUGUGGAAAUAAGUCGUGCUGCAGCUGCCGUGACUUCCCUCAGAGACUGGCGUCAACACACCUGUGGCCACACCCCUCCGACUAUCAGGUACUAUUUAACUCACUAAAACACUAGCAACACAAUAGAAAGAUAAGAGAUUUCCCAGAACUAUCCUAGUAAAUGUGUCUAAAAACAUCUGAAUCGCUCCCAAUGCAAUCGCCUUUUUUUUUUUUACUUUUUUUUUUUUCUAGUCCAUCACUCUAAAUUUCCUCAUCCACAAAUCUUUCAUCCUCACUCAAAUUAAUAGGGAAAUUGUCGCUUUCUCGGUCCGAAUAACUCUUGCUUCUGGAUGCUCACAUUAUAAACAAUGUGAGGAUGUGAGGGGCCCCCACACUUGUGACGUCACGCGCACAUCGUCUGCUACUUCCGUUAAAGGCAAGGCUUUUUUAUUAGCGACCAAAAGUUACGAACUUUAUCGUCGAUGUUCUCUAGUAAAUUCUUUCGGCAAAAAUAUGGCAAUAUCACGAAAUGAUCAAGUAUGACACAUAGAAUGGACCUGCUAUCCCCGUUUAAAUAAGAAAAUCUCAUUUCAGUAGGCCUUUAAUGUUGGAAGACGGAAAAGGUCGUCUCACUGAGUGAGAUUCCUCUGAUCUCUUUAAGAGCUAAAUGAAGA